GGAAGGUCAGCUCGUCUUGCGUCUGAGCCUCGUAGUCGUAGAGCGCCUUGGCAAAGGUCACCGCUAGUAGACAUGGAGAGAGAGACAAAGUUCCUCAUGAGGGGUGAACUUUGUUGGCUGCUCUUAUAUGCGAAAAACAUCCAUUUCAUUUAGGUCAUGAAAACUUAAAAAAACAUGUAAUUGCCUAUGGGUGCCAACUGUGUGUAUACACAUUAUCACUAGAUGGCAGUAUUGGUCAAUAAAAAGAUGCUGUCAACAUA